UACGAAGGGGGCUAGCGUUGCUCGGAAUCACUGGGCGUAAAGGGUGCGUAGGCGGGCAGGUAAGUCCGUGGUGAAAUCUCCGAGCUUAACUCGGAAACUGCCGUUGAUACUAUUUGUCUUGAAUAUUGUGGAGGUAAGCGGAAUAUGUCAUGUAGCGGUGAAAUGCUUAGAUAUGACAUAGAACACCAAUUGCGAAGGCAGCUUACUACACAACGAUUGACGCUGAGGCACGAAAGCGUGGGGAUCAAACAGG
rnacentral:rRNA from 1 species